UACGUAGGGGGCGAGCGUUGUCCGGAUUUAUUGGGCGUAAAGAGCUCGUAGGCGGUUGCGGAAGUCGGGUGUGAAAUACCGGGGCUCAACUCCGGGGCGCCAUUCGAUACUCCGCUGACUCGAGUCCGGUAGGGGAAGGUGGAAUUCCUGGUGUAGCGGUGAAAUGCGCAGAUAUCAGGAGGAACACCGGUGGCGAAGGCGGCCUUCUGGGCCGGUACUGACGCUGAGGAGCGAAAGCGUGGGGAGCGAACAGG
rnacentral:rRNA from 1 species